rnacentral:rRNA from 1 species
UACAGAGGGUGCAAACGUUGCUCGGAAUCAUUGGGCGUAAAGCGCACGUAGGCGGCCUGAUAAGUCGGUAGUGAAAGCCCUCGGCUUAACCGAGGAAGUGCUAUCGAAACUGCCAGGCUUGAAUACCGGAGAGGAUCGCGGAAUUCCCGGUGUAGAGGUGAAAUUCGUAGAUAUCGGGAAGAACACCGGUGGCGAAGGCGGCUAUCUGGCCCGUAAUUGACGCUGAGGCGCGAAAGCGUGGGGAGCAAACAGG